CAUGUAGGCGGCCUUGUAAGCCUGGCGUGAAAGUCACCGGCUUAACCGGUGGAUUGCGUCGGGAACUGCAGGGCUUGAGUCACGGAGAGGGAGCUAGAAUUCCUGGUGUAGGGGUGAAAUCUGUAGAGAUCAGGAAGAAUACCAAUGGCGAAGGCAAGCUCCUGGCCGAUGACUGACGCUGAGGUGCGAAAGUGUGGGGAUCAAACA
rnacentral:rRNA from 1 species